rnacentral:rRNA from 1 species
GAUGAACGCUGGCGGCGUGCCUAAUACAUGCAAGUCGAGCGAACAGACGAGGAGCUUGCUCCUCUGACGUUAGCGGCGGACGGGUGAGUAACACGUGGAUAACCUACCUAUAAGACUGGGAUAACUUCGGGAAACCGGAGCUAAUACCGGAUAAUAUAUUGAACCGCAUGGUUCAAUAGUGAAAGACGAUUUUGCUGUCACUUAUAGAUGGAUCCGCGCCGCAUUAGCUAGUUGGUAAGGUAACGGCUUACCAAGGCAACGAUGCGUAGCCGACCUGAGAGGGUGAUCGGCCACACUGGAACUGAGACACGGUCCAGACUCCUACGGGAGGCAGCAGUAGGGAAUCUUCCGCAAUGGGCGAAAGCCUGACGGAGCCACGCCGCGUGAGUGAUGAAGGUCUUCGGAUCGUAAAACUCUGUUAUUAGGGAAGAACAAAUGUGUAAGUAACUAUGCACGUCUUGACGGUACCUAAUCAGAAAGCCACGGCUAACUACGUG